rnacentral:rRNA from 1 species
UUUAUGGAGAGUUUGAUCCUGGCUCAGGAUGAACGCUGGCGGCGUGCCUAAUACAUGCAAGUCGAGCGAACGGACGAGAAGCUUGCUUCUCUGAUGUUAGCGGCGGACGGGUGAGUAACACGUGGAUAACCUACCUAUAAGACUGGGAUAACUUCGGGAAACCGGAGCU